GACUUGACGGGACCAUCACAUCUUUUGACCACCCCAAAGUCUCACUCGUUGCGCCAACACAGCAGAGAGUUCGUGAGGAGGGGCCUAUAUCCCUGAUCAGCGGCUUAUCCUUUCGUCCACCACAACACUAACUCACACAGUAACUGAUGACAAUCCUUUCCAACUAAUGCUCACUGAAUUUAUCCUCAGCGCUUCUGUUGACACAGCAUGGCACCAGGGACGGAUCCAGUGAUCCACUAACUUUUCCUAAACAGUAUCGAAAGAUUGAUCUAGAAGCUUUGACAGAGUUUUAGCUCUUUAUGUCUGCCACAUUGACUUUCUGAUGAAUAAAGGAAAAAAUCGUAGGUGAUAAGGUGACGUUUGCAGAGCGGCGUCUAUUAAAUAUCGUACCUUUAUGUUUGAAGCUGAGACCGGCGAUAGUUUUAGUAAGGGAGGGCUCCUGCAGAGAUCAAUUCACGGACGCUAAUGUUGCCUUGAAUUAUAGUAUGAUAACCGACAGAGUGACGUUUGCAGAGCGGCGUCUAUUGAAUAUCAUACCUUUAUGUUUGAAGCUGAGACCGGCGAUAUUCCUAAGUAAUACGGCAGAUGAAGACACAAGUUUUAGUAAGGGAGGGCUCCUGCAGAGAUCAAUUCACGGACGCUAAUGUUGCCUUGAAUUAGAGUAUGAUAACCGACAGAGAUCAAGUCAAAGUCAGGCCUGCAGCGACGAGCCCCUUUCUUUCGGAUUGUGAAGUGUAAUGUUAAUGUUUAAUGUAGCUGUUUAACGUCGAAAAUUGUUAGUUUGUAAUUGUUUUUGAGAAGCAAAAUAAUUAAUCUGAGAAGUGUUUCCAGUUUUAUAAAGCUCAGGCAUGGGCACCGUAUUGUUUAUUUAGUUAUAUUUUAUACAAUAUCUUUGACCUUUGUCGCAUUAAGUUGUAGUACUACUACUAGUAGCGGGGUAGUACUAGUAAAUACUGAAUACUGUGUUUCGUUUAUUCUAUAAGUAUAUAAAUA